rnacentral:tRNA from 1 species
GGUGGCAUAGCCAAGAGGAAGGCGGGGGGUCUGCAACACUCCCUUGGUUUGGUUCAACUCCAAAUGCCACCUCCA